rnacentral:rRNA from 1 species
AGAGCGAACGCUGGCGGCAGGCCUAACACAUGCAAGUCGAGCGCCCGUAGCAAUACGGGAGCGGCAGACGGGAUAGUAACACGUGGGAACGCGCCCUUCGGUUCGGAAUAACUCAGGGAAACUUGAGCUAAUACCGGAUACGCCCUUACGGGGAAAGAUUUAUUGCCGAAGGAACGGCCCGCGUCCGAUUAGCUAGUUGGUGAGGUAAUGGCUCACCAAGGCGACGAUCGGUAGCUGGUCUGAGAGGAUGACCAGCAUCACUGGGACUGAGACACGGCCCAGACUCCUACGGGAGGCAGCCAGUGGGGAAUAUUGGACAAUGGGCGCAAGCCUGGAUCCAGCCAUGCCGCGUGGAUGAUGAAGGCCUUAGGGUUGUAAAGUCCUUUUAACGGGGAAGAUAAUGACGGUACCCGUAGAAUAAGCCCCGGCUAACUUCGUGCCAGCAGCCGC